rnacentral:snRNA from 1 species
UCACUUACCUGGCACGGGUCUUUGCAGCUCAAGAAGUGUGAAGACUCGACUGUUCGUCUUGGCAUUGCACUUAGCCCUGAUGUGCAGUCGUAGACUGGCUACGGUCAGAUCUGGGUGCAUCAUUUUUGAGUUCGUCCUUUCGGGGGCUU